AGCUUAUCAGCAAUGCCUCCGAUGUAAGGCUCUCUCCUCUCUUUCUCUCUCUGUCGAUCUUUGAUUUAUUUUCGUUUAUAUGCUUCUUAUUCCGUUAUAGAUUUUAGCAGCGAUGAAUACGAUUAUCUGUUUGUUUUUCUUACUUAAAAUUGAAUAGACUUUUUAUCGAUUGAAGGUGUUUUUAGUGUUUGGUUCCUGAGAUUUAUUUUCUUUAUCAGUAUCCGUGAAUGUGUUGUGUCUGUUCUUUCGAUUUUUCUAUGCAUAUGCUGAUGAGUUCUUUAAGUUGUCCUGAAAUGCCGGAAUUUCAUUUGCUGGACAUUUCACAUAAUUUAAAAAAAAAUAAAGCAAAUAAUAUGCUAUUUUUUGUGGAUUCUAAUUUAGUUUUAUGAUUAUUAUGUUAGCUUUCGUUUUAAUGUUAUGAGUUGGGGUUUUCAAUGUGUAAUCUGAAGCUAGUUAGAGUUAUCUAUUAUUAUCUUUGAGCUGUGAAUGGACAAUUUUCUUAUAUAUAUAUUUGACUUGAUUUAAAGUACUUUGGAAUAUUUCUUUAACCUCCAUGUUGAGGGUUAUGCCAUUUCUUUAUCCUUUUGGUCACUCAUUUGUUUAUUGCAGUUAUGUGAAUGUCAUUUAAUAAUGCUUUUCCUUUAUGUUUAUCUUGUUUGUAGAUAUAAAUAUAAUUGUGUUGGUGGAUUUUGAAGGUUGAAGUCUGUUUGGUUGAUUGAUCCCCUUAUUAAUAUUUAGUUAUGUGAAUACGUUAUGCUUAUUUGUAUUUUUGCUCUUUUAUUUCAGGCUCUGGACAAAAUCAGAUUUGAG
rnacentral:misc_RNA from 1 species